UCCCUGGAGGACUAGUGGUUAGGCCUCAGCGAUCUCACCACUAUAGCCCGGGUUCAAUUCCCGGACAGGGAA